rnacentral:rRNA from 1 species
UACGUAGGGGGCAAGCGUUGUCCGGAUUUAUUGGGCGUAAAGAGCGUGUAGGCGGUUUGGUAGGUCCGUUGUGAAAACUCGAGCUCAACCUCGAGACGCCGAUGGAAACCAUCAGACUAGAGUCCGGAAGAGGAGAGUGGAAUUCCUGGGUGUAGCGGUGAAAUGCGCAGAUAUCAGGAAGAACACCCGUGGCUAAGGCGGCUCUCUAGUACGGUACUGACGCUGAGACGCGAAAGCGUGGGGAGCGAACAGG